CAUCUUUGAAAUUGUUUGACUUAAUGGUUUGACUAAGGUAUUAAGAAAUAAAACGUCACUCUAAAUAAAGGUAGUAAAUUUAUCAAAUUCAUGAUCCACGUAUAAGUCAGUAUAAAGUAUAAUAAGUUCUUAUAAGAUUUGAAUCAAUCCACAGAUUACUGGCUUAUCUUGGUUAUCAAAGAAGGCUGGGAUUAUUUGGGUGGGAGUAGGGUGGCAGGAUGUUAUCCAAUCCCUUUUAAAUUAUUUCAUAUCAUAAAGAUCUGUAGACCUUUCUCUACUGCCACAGUCAGAGACAGGAUACAUUUUGGAUGGACAUGGGCGUGAUCCAGCACAUAUUUUGUUAAGUUUGUUUUUAAAUAAUUUCUUGAAGUCUUUCAAGCAUCUUGGACUCUAGAGUUGGCCUGUUCAUGGCUCUAUAAGGUUUGCAUAACAUCUAAGUGAUGUCCCUGUAGAAGUGUAUUUUUGCAUAAAGAAACUGAAAGAAUAAAGAAUACUAUUUUUUCCACCAAAAUAAUAUGUAAAUUAAGCAGUAAAAUGUAUAUGAGUUUUGGUUGAAUUGUGCCAUUAAUCUUGCUGUUAGUAAGAAAACUUCUUUCUCUUGUGUAAUAACUUACCUGCCGUAAGUUUCCAAGUUUUUAAUUCUCUUCCUUUUAGUUAAUCUCUCUGAUUCUUAAGAAUUGAGUACAGAAAAUGGAAAUUUUAUUAUUUGAUGAGAUUGAACAUGAGAAGUGCUAUGCCAAUGAUGUUUUAAUGAAUAAAGAGUUUUUUUUUUAAAAAGA
rnacentral:lncRNA from 1 species